rnacentral:snRNA from 1 species
AAGUGUAGUAUCUGUUCUUAUCAGUUUAAUAUCUGAUACGUCCUCUAUCCGAGGACAAUAUAUUAAAUGGAUUUUUGGAGCAGGGAGAUGGAAUAGGAGCUUGCUCCGUCCACUCCACGCAUCGACCUGGUAUUGCAGUACUUCCAGGAACGGUGC